rnacentral:rRNA from 1 species
UGACAGGUGGUGCAUGGUUGUCGUCAGCUCGUGUCGUGAGAUGUUGGGUUAAGUCCGCAACGAGCGCAACCCUCGACCUUAGUUGCCAGCAUUCAGUUGGGCACUCUAAGGUGACUGCCGGCUAAAAGUCGGAGGAAGGUGGGGAUGACGUCAAAUCAUCAUGCCCCUUAUGACCUGGGCUACACACGUGCUACAAUGGGCGGUACAAAGGGUCGCGAACCCGCGAGGGGGAGCCAAUCCCAAAAAGCCGCUCUCAGUUCGGAUUGCAGGCUGCAACUCGCCUGCAUGAAGCCGGAAUCGCUAGUAAUCGCGGAUCAGCAUGCCCGCGGUCGAAUACGUUCCCGGGCCUU